rnacentral:rRNA from 1 species
GGAUUAGAUACCCUGGUAGUCCACGCCGUAAACGAUGAGUGCUAGCUGUUGGAGCCGUAGGGUUUUAGUAGCGCAGCAAACGCGAUAAGCACUCCGCCUGGGGAGUACGGCCGCAAGGUUAAAACUCAAAUGAAUUGACGGGGGCCCGCACAAGCGGUGGAGCAUGUGGUUUAAUUCGAUGCAACGCGAAGAACCUUACCUACCCUUGACAUCCUGCGAAUCUUAUAGAGAUAUGAGAGUGCCUUCGGGAAUGCAGAGACAGGUGCUGCAUGGCUGUCGUCAGCUCGUGCCG